rnacentral:rRNA from 1 species
CCUACGGGAGGCAGCAGUGGGGAAUAUUGGGCAAUGGACGCAAGUCUGACCCAGCAAUGCCGCGUGAAGGAAGAAGGCUUUCGGGUUGUAAAAUUCUUUGACGGGGGAAGAACAGAAUGCGGUACCCUGAAUACAAACCACGGCUAACGACGUGGCAGCAGCCGCCGUAAUACCGAGGGUGCCAGCGUUAUGCGGGUUUGAUGGGGUUAAAGGGCGUGUAGGGGGGAUGGGAAGUCCGAUGUGAAAUUUGGGGGCUCAACCUCCGGUUUGCAGUUGAAACUGUUCGUCUUGAGUAGAGGAGAGGUAGGCGGAAUGCGUGGUGUAGCGGUGAAAUGCGUAGAUAUUAGGAGGAACACCAGUGGCGAAGGCGGCUUGCUGGACAGCAACUGACGCUGAGGCACGAAAGCGUGGGGAGCAAACAGGAUUAGAUACCCUUGUAGUC